rnacentral:rRNA from 1 species
UACGUAGGGCGCAAGCGUUGUCCGGAAUCAUUGGGCGUAAAGAGCUCGUAGGCGGUUUGUCGCGUCUGCUGUGAAAACCCGAGGCUCAACCUCGGGCCUGCAGUGGGUACGGGCAGACUAGAGUGCGGUAGGGGAGAUUGGAAUUCCUGGUGUAGCGGUGGAAUGCGCAGAUAUCAGGAGGAACACCAAUGGCGAAGGCAGAUCUCUGGGCCGUAACUGACGCUGAGGAGCGAAAGCAUGGGGAGCGAACAGG